GACGAACGCUGGCGGCGUGCUUAACACAUGCAAGUCGAGCGGUAAGGCCCUUUCGGGGGUGCACGAGCGGCGAACGGGUGAGUAACACGUGGGUGACCUGCCCUCAGCUCUGGGAUAAGCCUGGGAAACCGGGUCUAAUACUGGAUAUGACUCCAUGACGCAUGUUGUGGGGUGGAAAGCCUUGUGCGGCUGAGGAUGGGCCCGCGGCCUAUCAGCUUGUUGGUGGGGUGAUGGCCUACCAAGGCGACGACGGGUAGCCGGCCUGAGAGGGCGACCGGCCACACUGGGACUGAGACACGGCCCAGACUCCUACGGGAGGCAGCAGUGGGGAAUCUUGCGCAAUGGGCGAAAGCCUGACGCAGCGACGCCGCGUGAGGGAUGACGGCCU
rnacentral:rRNA from 1 species